UUUUAUAUAUAGGUAGUAAUAGUUAUGUUCUUGAAACUUAAAAAAUUUGGCGGUAUUUUAGUCUAUUCAGAGGAACCUGUUCUGUAAUUGAUAUUCCACGUUGGACCUUACUUAGAUUUGUUUUGCAAUUUAUAUACCGUUGUUAUUAAAAUAUUUUAAAAAAAUAAUAUUUAAGUUUUUGGAUAAAAAUUUAUAUCAAAUCAAGGUGUAGUUUAUGUUUAAGUAGAAAUGGGUUACAAUAAAUUUAUUUUUGGAUAUAAAUAUGAAAAAUUUAUUGAAAUUGGAUUUGAUAGUAAAAUUAUAUAGAUUAAUAAUUUGAUUUUAGCUCUAAAAUAUGU
rnacentral:rRNA from 1 species